CAUCUCCUGCGGUGUUCGACACGGGCUGGGUUACCCCUCGAGCCUUAAGCAAUACCCAAGGGCUGCACCUGCGGUGCCAGUGCGCAUGUCCGCCAGCGAGCGGAAAGCCUGAGGCACGGCGGAAGGCCCCACUUGAACCAUCGGUUCAAGGGCGAAGGCUCGUGACGGCACAGGUGGGAGAUGC
rnacentral:other from 1 species